UAUAGUGGUCCAAUGUAUGAUAAAAAAUACAACUUAAGCUAAUUCUUGGUAAUUCAUUGUAUCAAUAACGACAAUGUUUAUUUUUAUGCAAUUGGGAUUUUUCCUUUUGUUUUGCUACUAUAAAACCGACCGCAUUCGAUGUGUAAAGUAUCACAACUCUAAAGCAACACUCACCUCAACAACUGAAACAGCAAAAUGAAAUUUAUUGGACUUAUUUUUUUGGUAAUCUUUGCAAUUGUUGCACUUCAAGAUGUCGCAUUUGCCUGCAUCAAAGAUCGCGAUGGUUGCCAGCCUGACGGAAGCCAAGGAAACUGUUGUUCUGGAUUUUGUCAUAAAGAACCUGGAUGGGUUGCAGGAUAUUGCAAAUAAAUAAUAAAAUACAACAGAACAUUUUACAAUAUAUUUUCUUAUUGUAAAAUUAUAUAUAUUUUAAUCUCCUAAUAUGCAGAUCUGUAUUACAUAAUAUAAUAAAUAGUAUAUGAAGCUCUA